rnacentral:rRNA from 1 species
GACGAACGCUGGCGGCGUGCUUAACACAUGCAAGUCGAACGGAAAGGCCCUGCUUUUGUGGGGUGCUCGAGUGGCGAACGGGUGAGUAACACGUGAGUAACCUGCCCUUGACUUUGGGAUAACUUCAGGAAACUGGGGCUAAUACCGGAUAGGAGCUCCUGCUGCAUGGUGGGGGUUGGAAAGUUUCGGCGGUUGGGGAUGGACUCGCGGCUUAUCAGCUUGUUGGUGGGGUAGUGGCUUACCAAGGCUUUGACGGGUAGCCGGCCUGAGAGGGUGACCGGCCACACGGGAACUGAGACAGGGUGCAGAGUCCGACGGGAGGCAGCGGUAGGAAAGCGUACGCAACGGGCGGAAGCCGGACGGAGCAGCGCCGCGUGGGUGAUGCAGGUCUUCGGAUGGGAAAGCUCUGUUAGUAGGGAAGAACAAAUGUGUAAGUAACUAUGCGCGUCUUGACGGUACCUAAUCAGAAAGCAACGGCUAACUACGUG